UGCGGAGGGAUCAUUACACAAUAAACAUAUGAAGGCUGCACCGCCAACAGGCGGCAAGGCUGGAGUAUUUUAUUACCCUUGUCUUUUGCGCACUUGUUGUUUCCUGGGCGGGUUCGCCCGCCUCCAGGACCACAUGAUAAACCUUUUUUAUGCAGUUGCAAUCAGCGUCAGUACAACAAAUGUAAAUCAUUUACAACUUUCAACAACGGAUCUCUUGGUUCUGGCAUCGAUGAAGAACGCAGCGAAAUGCGAUACGUAGUGUGAAUUGCAGAAUUCAGUGAAUCAUCGAAUCUUUGAACGCACAUUGCGCCCUUUGGUAUUCCAAAGGGCAUGCCUGUUCGAGCGUCAUUUGUACCCUCAAGCUUUGCUUGGUGUUGGGCGUUUUUUGUCUUUGGUUUUGUCCAAAGACUCGCCUUAAAACGAUUGGCAGCCGGCCUACUGGUUUCGCAGCGCAGCACAUUUUUGCGCUUGCAAUCAGCAAAAGAGGACGGCACUCCAUCAAGACUCUAUAUCACUUUUGACCUCGGAUCAGGUAGGGAUACCCGCUGAACUUAAGCAUAUC
rnacentral:rRNA from 1 species